rnacentral:tRNA from 1 species
GGAUUGUGGCUCAGCAGUUAUAGUGCUUGCCUAGCAUGUGCAAGGCCCUGGGUUCGAUUCUCAGCACCA